UCAUCUCUCUCUCUUCUGAUUCAGUUCGGCAUGGGAGAACCAAGCAUGUUGAGUGGAUCAGCGAAAAAGUUUGUUCUGAAAUUUUCUCUACCCACUUUAUCUCCUCCAAAGGCCAUCACCACUUCUUCUACCUCAGCCUAUCUUUCUACCAUCUGGACCGGUGCCCUCGUCUCUGGUUCAUCUUCUUCCUUCCACGUCUAUAUAUAGCUGACCUCGCGCUCCUGCCUCCCUUCCAAAAAUCUCCUAUAAUAAGUGCUUGAUCAAAUCAUCGACUGUCUUGGGUUUGCUUCAUUUGAUGCUUUGAUUUGAAUUUAUUUCUUCUUGUGUGAGUUUGGGUGAAAUGGAGAGUUACGGUUGGGGAGGAAGUAGCAGCAGAGGACGAGGCGGCGGCCGUGGCGGUGGCAGUGGCGGUAGAGGGAGGAGUAGAGGUGGUGGAUCUGGAACUUGGGGUUCGUCCUCCUACCAAGGGGCUACACAGGGACAAUAUUCGGAUCAACCGUAUCAAUUUGGCGGUCGUGGCGGCGAUGGUCGGGGUCGCGGUCGCGGUGGCAGUCGCGGUGCUGGAUAUGGUGAUUGAGGUUCUGCCUCGAGUCAGCAAACUCCUCUGCCUAUCUAUGUAGAAGGUCAGUAUCAAGUAAGUUCUAGCUCUGGGCAGCAAUAUCCUCAAGAAUGGAGUAACCAGGAAGGUUCUGGCCGAGGAUGGUUCCCAAGGCCCGCGGUUGAUGUGGUUUCCAGUAAGAGUUUGGGACCAACAAAGCCGGAUUCCGGCGAGAGUUCGACCAAGGCUGGUUCUGGUAAAGAUCGGAGGGGUACUGGAUCUUCUGUUUGGGAUAGGGGACAGGCUUAUGUUCCUGUUAGGUCUGAAAGAUCUUCUGAAGCUGUUCCUGGUAUGGAUCUGUAACUAGAUCUUGAGAUUAUAGAUUUUCUAUCGUCCUUAUUAUGAUUUAGUUCUGAAUAUUUUGUUGGAUUUAUGAUUCCGUAGCUGUGGAACGCAGCUAGUAAGAUAAAAAACCUUCAUGAGGAUUUUUCUUGUGGUUACAAUGCUUAUGGUUACAGUGUCAGGUUUGUCUGACUUGAUUUAAGCAUUGUAAUUUUCCUUGUCUACUGAUGUGGGACGCACUUUUUAGUUUGCCCUAAAUUUGUUAUAUCAGGUGGCUGAUGAAUUGAGACUGGCAAGAGCAUCCAUGAAUGUUAAUGGUACAAUGUCAGGCCAUUGUGUCAAAUAAAAAAUUAUGGUAUUUUGCAUUGUGUGAAUUUGUUGACUUCGACUGGAGUGCUUUCAAAUUAAGGCAUCUAACAUUGAUGUGGGAAAGGUUACAACGUUUCAGUAUGAAAGUUUUAUGUGGAUACUUAUCUUGUUUAAUUUCCUUCACGAUGAUUAGUUUAGGACCGAUGCUAUCCUAAUAGGGAAGGACAAAAGGAGGAAAAGGAUAAGAGAAAUUUCUAGUUAUUUCUUUUUACUGCUUUUGAUGUCCCAGAAAGGAAGCGAAAGAAAAAGGGAAAGGCAAAAAAAAUGUGCUUCCUUUCCAUUUUCUUGUUUAGAAGAAUAUGUUUCGCUCAAAAUUAACUCUUUGGCUUGUUCAAAGAAUAAAUGAGAUGAGGGAUGUUAUUAGUUUAUUGCUUGAGCAAUCUGAUGGCGGCUGCAGUUUUUUAAUCGGCAAAGAGAGUGCCUGCAUUUAUGCUUGUGAUGCUAUACUGCUGGGGAUGGUGAAUCUUCCCAAAACAACCUAGAUACACCAAAUCCAAAACAAAAGACCGAUUUAAGACGUGAAAGUCUAAGAUUGAUUUAUUUCAGUUUGUUACGAAAGCUGAGAAAACCUUAAAUCCAAAGAACAGAGAAAAUGUAGUGGGCAAUUCACCGUGUUGGGUAGGAGAAAACAAAGGAGAAAAGACAGAAGGUGCAAGGGAGGCAAAAGUGAAGGAAAGAAAGCAGGCGCCCUUUCCUUUGUUCUUUUAAGAGAGGGAAAAUGUAGUGGGCAAUUCUCUUUGCAUCCUUUGCUCUCCUGUUUUGGAAGCAAAUGGUCUUGGAAGGAGUUGAAAAGCUUACAAUGAUCCUCCUAACUCUUUCACCCAAUCAAAUGAGGGAAUAAGAUUUUUCACUCUUCUUUUCUCCUUACAGUUAUCCUUCUCUUUUUUCCUUCUUAUUAAACGAAAUGUUGAGGAUAUUGAUCUAAA